CUUUGUACUGUGAACUGCGAAUGGCUCAUUAAAUCAGUUAUCGUUUAUUUGAUAGUACCCUACUACAUGGAUACCUGUGGUAAUUCUAGAGCUAAUACAUGCGCAAAACCCCGACUUCGGAAGGGGUGUAUUUAUUAGAUAAAAAACCAAUGCCCUUCGGGGCUCCUUGGUGAUUCAUAAUAACUUAACGAAUCGCAUGGCCUUGCGCCGGCGAUGGUUCAUUCAAAUUUCUGCCCUAUCAACUUUCGAUGGUAGGAUAGUGGCCUACCAUGGUGGCAACGGGUAACGGGGAAUUAGGGUUCGAUUCCGGAGAGGGAGCCUGAGAAACGGCUACCACAUCCAAGGAAGGCAGCAGGCGCGCAAAUUACCCAAUCCCGAUCCGGGGGAGGUAGUGACAAUAAAUACUGAUAUAGGGCUCUUUUGGGUCUUAUAAUUGGAAUGAGUACAAUCUAAAUCUCUUAACGAGGAACAAUUGGAGGGCAAGUCUGGUGCCAGCAGCCGCGGUAAUUCCAGCUCCAAUAGCGUAUAUUAAAGUUGUUGCAGUUAAAAAGCUCGUAGUUGAACCUUGGGCCCGUCCUGCCGGUCCGCCUCACCGCGAGUACUGGUCCGGAUGGGUCUUUCUUUCUGGGGAAUCCCAUGGCCUUCACUGGCUGUGGCGGGGAACCAGGACUUUUACUGUGAAAAAAUUAGAGUGUUCAAAGCAGGCCUUUGCUCGGAUACAUUAGCAUGGAAUAAUAAAAUAGGACGUGUGGUUCUAUUUUGUUGGUUUCUAGGACCGCCGUAAUGAUUAAUAGGGAUAGUCGGGGGCGUCAGUAUUCAGCUGUCAGAGGUGAAAUUCUUGGAUUUGCUGAAGACUAACUACUGCGAAAGCAUUCGCCAAGGAUGUUUUCAUUAAUCAGGGAACGAAAGUUAGGGGAUCGAAAACGAUCAGAUACCGUUGUAGUCUUAACCAUAAACUAUGCCGACUAGGGAUCGGGCGGUGUUUCUAUGAUGACCCGCUCGGCACCUUACGAGAAAUCAAA
rnacentral:rRNA from 1 species